rnacentral:tRNA from 1 species
GCGGACGUGGCGGAAUCGGUAGACGCAGCCGGCUUAAACCCGGCGGGCAUUCCCGUUGCGAGUUCGAAUCUCGCCGUCCGUACCA